ACCAGGCACCCGCAUCCAGUGCAGCCCCAGCUCAGGCUCACUUGGCUGGAGACAUCUGCUACUGGAGGAUGUUCUCUUGCUGCCAGCCCACCUCUGGGGGCUCUGGCUCCCAGGAACCCCAGGGGUGCGGCUUGACCAUUGCUGUAGGCAUUGGUUCCAACAUAGAUACCAAGGCAUCAGGGCAGUGAUCAGGAGGCGCCGUCAGAGCUCCACCCGGGACGUGGGGCGCGAGCGGGAGGAAGGGGUCAUCUGCUCCACCGCCUCCAGGAGCAGGGAGGUGCCCUGCACAGCUAAUGGAGGCCAGCGCGUGCUCAAGGGUUCAGGGGCCUCGGCCUGGAGGGGGCAUCGGAUCUUCCCGAAGAAGCUCAGCCAGACGGAGCUGCUGGAGUACAAAGUCCGACAACUGCUGCUCGCCUUGCAGUGCAGGGAUGUCAUCUACAUCUUUAGCUUUUUGGAAGAUUACCAUGAAUUCGCCACCACGGACGAGGUGCUGGACCUGCUGUUCACCGAGUAGCACCUGCCCCUCCGCA